CCUACGGGAGGCAGCAGUGGGGAAUAUUGGACAAUGGGGGCAACCCUGAUCCAGCCAUGCCGCGUGUGUGAAGAAGGCCCUCGGGUUGUAAAGCACUUUCAGUGAGGAAGAACGCCUGGUGGUUAAUACCCAUCAGGAAAGACAUCACUCACAGAAGAAGCACCGGCUAACUCCGUGCCAGCAGCCGCGGUAAUACGGAGGGUGCGAGCGUUAAUCGGAAUUACUGGGCGUAAAGCGCACGUAGGUGGCUUGAUAAGCCGGUUGUGAAAGCCCCGGGCUCAACCUGGGAACGGCAUCCGGAACUGUCAAGCUAGAGUGCAGGAGAGGAAGGUAGAAUUCCCGGUGUAGCGGUGAAAUGCGUAGAGAUCGGGAGGAAUACCAGUGGCGAAGGCGGCCUUCUGGACUGACACUGACACUGAGGUGCGAAAGCGUGGGUAGCAAACAGGAUUAGAUACCCUAGUAGUC
rnacentral:rRNA from 1 species